rnacentral:rRNA from 1 species
UGGUAAUGCCGGAUGCUCCAGUUGAUCGCAUGGUUUGUUGGGAAAGCUUUCGCGGUAUGGGAUGGGGUCGCGUCCUAUCAGCUUGACGGCGGGGUAACGGCCCACCGUGGCUUCGACGGGUAGCCGGCCUGAGAGGGCGACCGGCCACAUUGGGACUGAGAUACGGCCCAGACUCCUACGGGAGGCAGCAGUGGGGAAUAUUGCACAAUGGGCGCAAGCCUGAUGCAGCGACGCCGCGUGAGGGAUGGAGGCCUUCGGGUUGUAAACCUCUUUUAUCGGGGAGCAAGCGAGAGUGAGUUUACCCGUUGAAUAAGCACCGGCUAACUACGUGCCAGCAGCCGCGGUAAUACGUAGGGUGCAAGCGUUAUCCGGAAUUAUUGGGCGUAAAGGGCUCGUAGGCGGUUCGUCGCGUCCGGUGUGAAAGUCCAUCGCUUAACGGUGGAUCCGCGCCGGGUACGGGCGGGCUUGAGUGCGGUAGGGGAGACUGGAAUUCCCGGUGUAACGGUGGAAUGUGUAGAUAUC